rnacentral:rRNA from 1 species
CAGUAGCCGCGGGAAUACGGAGGGUGCAAGCGUUAUCCGGAUUCACUGGGUUUAAAGGGUGCGUAGGCGGGCAGGUAAGUCAGUGGUGAAAUCUUCGAGCUUAACUCGGGAACUGCCGUUGAUACUAUCUGUCUUGAAUAACGUUGAGGUGAGCGGAAUAUGUCAUGUAGCGGUGAAAUGCUUAGAUAUGACAUAGAACACCGAUUGCGAAGGCAGCUCACUAAACGCUCAUUGACGCUGAGGCACGAAAGCGUGGAGAUCAAACAGGAUUAGAUACCCCGGUAGUCCAUGUCUCUUAUAC